ACCUAGCUGACGAGUUCCAAAAAGGACGAGACGCGCAUCAUGGAU
rnacentral:hammerhead_ribozyme from 1 species